GAUGAACGCUAGCUACAGGCUUAACACAUGCAAGUCGAGGGGCAGCAUGGUCUUAGCUUGCUAAGGCCGAUGGCGACCGGCGCACGGGUGAGUAACGCGUAUCCAACCUGCCUUACACUCUUGGACAGCCUUCUGAAAGGGAGAUUAAUACAAGAUGUUAUCAUGAGUAAGCAUUUUCGCAUGAUUAAAGGUUUACCGGUGUAAGAUGGGGAUGCGUUCCAUUAGAUAGUAGGCGGGGUAACGGCCCACCUAGUCUUCGAUGGAUAGGGGUUCUGAGAGGAAGGUCCCCCACAUUGGAACUGAGACACGGUCCAAACUCCUACGGGAGCAGCAGUGAGGAAUAUUGGUCAAUGGACGAGAGUCUGAACCAGCCAAGUAGCGUGAAGGGAUGAAGGUUCUAUGGAUUGGU
rnacentral:rRNA from 1 species